AGGAAUGGAGAACACAUUCAAUGGGGUCUAGAAGAUACAGAUCCCAAAAGGAAGGAAUCAAGAACACAUUAAAAGAUGUCUAGAAGGUACAAAUCCUAAAGGGAGGGAAUCAAGAACACAUUCAACGAGGUCUAGAAGGUACAGAUCCCAAAAGGAGGUAAUCAAGAACACAUUCAAUGAGGUCUAGAAAGUACAGAUCCCCAAAGGAGGGAGACAUCCGAAUUUGAGUGGUGUUUCUGGAGGGGAGAUGAAGAAAGAGCAUUUGGAGGAAUGGAGAACACAUUCAACUAAGUCUAGAAGGCCUACAUCAAGUCUCUGCUCAGGUUAAUGAAGGAAUAAGUAGAAAGGGCAAAAUUCAGUCGCUACCACAGAGGGAUGGACCAGGGAAACACCUGGGAAUCAAGAACACAUUAAAUGAG